GCUGAAGUAGCUCAGCUGGGAGAGCGUUAGACUGAAGAUCUAAAGGUCCCUGGUUCAAACCUGGGCUUCAGCA
rfam:Chaetura pelagica isolate M959 contig42821, whole genome shotgun sequence.